CAACAUCUCGAUAAUUCACUCAAAUGUAAAGAGAGAAACAAGAGAGAGAAAAGGAGAACUACCGCAAUCUGUACCUCUUCCGAUGGCUACUUGAGCUUCUACUUUUUUGCUACGU
rnacentral:ribozyme from 13 species